UUGGAGGGCAAGUCUGGUGCCAGCAGCCGCGGUAAUUCCAGCUCCAAUAGCGUAUAUUAAAGUUGUUGCAGUUAAAAAGCUCGUAGUUGAAUUUCGGGAUUGACGUGAUGGUCAUGCCUUAAGGGGUAUGAACUGUUGCAGUUGAUUUCUCACCUUCUGGAGAAACUUGAUGUCCUUUAUUGGGUGUCUUGCGGAUCCAGGACCUUUACCUUGAAAAAAUUAGAGUGUUUAAAGCAGGC
rnacentral:rRNA from 1 species